UCAGGCCGCUCAUUUCCUACCUGAGGAAGUUUUACUACUACGACCCCGAGGAGGAGAUCAACCCGUCCCUGAAGGAGAGAGGACCGGAGCCCAGCAGCCAGCCGGGGGUCCAGUCUCAAACGUAGCACUGGAGCCUCAGAGGACCACUUCUUUUCUUUUCUUCGUUUUUUGGACACUCGAUUGCUGAAGGACGUUCAAACAUUCAAACUGGACUCACAGACUGCAGCCAAUCAGCUCCCUCUGCUCAGUCCUGUAUCCGGGCGGGGUUUCAGAUGAUCCACCCUCCCCCGUGCACUCUGAUUGGCUCGCAGAGAGUCGGCAGGGGAGGGGCCGGGGAUGUGGAGACUCCGCCUCUCUUUUGAUGUCAUCACUGAGCAGCUGGACUAAAGGCAACGUGACAUCACUGUUAGCAAAGACGCUAAAUCUCUAAAAAACAAAGAACCUCAGUGCGAGGAGAGAAACAUUUGUCGCCUCCGGGAUCCUUUAACUUCCAACGCAGAGCUGAAGACGAAAAAGCUCUUUGGGACCUAACGACAGUGGCUUUAAAUAAAGUACAAAUAUUUAACACUGGAGGUCUUUCUCAGUACAGACGACGCCAAGAAUUCAGUCCACUUUACAAAGUUUACAUUAAACUGUCCAAUAAAAACUAAAAGCAUAACGGUCACACCAGAACACAGCCACAAUAUCUCUCCGAGCAGCUUCCUGAGAACAUUUAGUUCUUUCUGUUCAACUUUUCAGUCAAUAAAGGGGGAAAAUACGCUUGUUAGCUUAGCUUGGUGGCUAACAGGUAACAGAUAUAGUCAGGAUUCAAUUUUUAUAACAAAAUGAGAAACAUUCUUUUAUUUCU